CUCUGCCGCUGCUUGUUACAGAACGCUAUCUUGUAUAAUCCGUUUCGUUUUGUUUGUAGCGUUUAUCAGAAUGUUUAUUUUCCUGUUUUAUAUUCCAUCCUUGACAUGUAUGCGAAGAGUGCGAACUAUCCACAAGGAUUACCAGUUCUGUCCUUUGGGUGUUUUCUUCUCGCCCAAUCACACCAACCCGUCACACCAACUCAUUCCGUUUUCCAGGACAGUUUUGUUCAACAAAUUCUGCUGCAAAGAUGUUAGACCCUCCAUAGGAUAACAAGCAGGCUUGUUGUGCUCCUGAAAAUUAUGAAAGAAAACUAAAAAUGUAAAACUAUGCCAUCCACAUUAAUUCUGCAAGAAUCAGAUAAAUUCAAAUUUCUUUCCGAAAUCAACAAUGGCUUCACCGAGAGGUCACCAUCGGCGCGGAAGCAUGGAGGAACCAGUUUUCAUGUCAUCUGAUAUUAUUCAUCUUGAAGAGGAAUCAAAUAGACCUCAAAAGGACAUUUUGCCAGAAUGCAACAAGCAUUUGGAGAAAAUUCGUGAUCUCGUGAAUGAGUCUGCAAAUGAUCAUGGCCUUGCUAUUUAUGCAUGCAGAGGAGUAGCAAUAACUUUAGGAAUCGCGAUUGUGUUGUUCGUAUUACCUUUAUAUUUAAUUGAUGAAGAGGUUUUUGAUAUUGUUGCUGCAGGAGGGGCAGCUGCGGCUGUAGUUACUCUAUUAUGUGCUGCUUUUAGACGAAACAGGGAAACACAUCAGAAGAAGAACUUAAAACGAUCCAUUGAAGAGGAAUUUAAGGGAUUUUCAGGAUAAAAAUGAACCUUAUUAUUGACAUAUUGGAAAAAAAACCAGUCAACGCACUGAGGAAAUAUUGAGAGACCCUUCACUAUCAGACCACAUUGCCCAGGCAUUAAGUGAACAUUUUGCCUACUGCUUUGAAAAGGGGCACGUCUUCCAGGAACAUGACAGGAGUAAAGUGGGUGACCAGAUGUCUAAAAUUGUGCAUUUGUCUGGAAACAUUUCAGAAAUGAUCGCCAAGAUUAGUUCUGUGCCUGAUAUCCUCAAAGAGAUUAUCGAAGACAACAAGAAGCACCGUGGAAAACCUGCAAAACCCAGACAAGAACUAAUAAAUAAAAGAGAGUUUAAGGAGAAAGUAGAUAAAUUCAUUAAUGAUAUGCAGAAAGGAAUAUGUAUGAUAAAAAAUAGAGUGAAAGAUAUCAACCAAUCAAUAGACAGUAUAUCAGAUAUUUUGAGUUGAACCUGACAAAAUGAAAAAGUAUGAACUGCUGAGACAGAACUUGUUCUUGGAUCCACCUGACAGAGAACAACACAAACAGUGACCGAUAUUACAUUGCAGUGUUGAAUAAUUUCAGUGUUUCAUUGUCCUACAACAAUUAAUGUUAACAUUGUCAAAAGUUAGAAAUAUAUAUGUUUUUUUUUUUUUUUUUUUUUUUAGUUUUUCCCAGAGUGUUUUGUUUGUGCUCUGCAUUAUUGAUAAAUAGUGGAUGUUGUUAUUUUGUGUAUAUAUUUUUGUACUUUACAUUUAUCACUUUUUUUUUUUUUUUUUUACAACAAAACCUGUAAUAAAAUGCACACACAAAAAUGUAUUGGAAUGUAAAGUGAAUAAAGUAUGUUUAAA